CCUACGGGCGGCUGCAGUAGGGAAUCUUGCACAAUGGAGGGAACCCUGAUGCAGCAACGCCGCGUGAGGGAAGACGGUUUUCGGAUUGUAAACCUCUAUCAUUAGAGAAGAAAGAAAUGACGAUACCUAAAUAAGUAGCCCCGGCUAACUACGUGCCAACAGCCGCGGUAAUACGUAGGGGGCAAGCGGUAUCCUGAAUUACUGGGUGGAAAGGGAGAGUAGGCGGCAAGGUAAGCGAUAUGUGAAAGCGUUAGGCUUAAACCAAGGAUUGCAUAACGAACUAUCUAGCUAGAGUACAGGAGAGGAAAGCGGAAUUCCUAGUGUAGCGGUGAAAUGCGUAGAUAUUAGGAAGAACACCAGUGGCGAAGGCGGCUUUCUGGACUGAAACUGACGCUGAGGCUCGAAAGCGUGGGGAGCGAACAGGAUUAGAUACCCGAGUAGUC
rnacentral:rRNA from 1 species